GACGAACGCUGGCGGCGUGCUUAACACAUGCAAGUCGAACGGAAAGGCCCUGCUUGUGUGGGGUGCUCGAGUGGCGAACGGGUGAGUAACACGGGAGUAACCUGCCCUGGACUGUGGGAUAACUUCAGGAAACUGGGGCUAAUACCUGAUAGGAGCGCCUGCUGCAUGGUGGGGGUUGGAAAGUUUCGGCGGUUGGGGAUGGACUCGCGGCUUAUCAGCUUGUGGGGGGGGUAGUGGCUUACCAAGGCUUUGACGGGUAGCCGGCCUGAGAGGGUGACCGGCCACAAUGGGACUGAGAUACGGCCCAGACUCCUACGGGAGGCAGCAGUGGGGAAUAUUGCACAAUGGGCGGAAGCCUGAUGCAGCAGCGCCGCGUGCGGGAUGACGGCCUUCGGGUUGUAAACCGCUUUCGCCUGUGACGAAGCGUGAGUGACGGUAAUGGGUAAAGAAGCACCGGCUAACUACGUG
rnacentral:rRNA from 1 species